rnacentral:rRNA from 1 species
AUUGAACGCUGGCGGCAGGCCUAACACAUGCAAGUCGAGCGGAGCGGCGGACGGGUGAGUAAUGCCUAGGAAUCUGACUGGUCGUGGGGGAUAACGUCCGGAAAAGGGCACUAAUACCGCAUACUCUCAGAAGAGCCUAGGUCGGAAUAGCUAGAUGGUGGGGUAAAGGCCUAGCACGACGACGAUCCGUAACUGGUCUGAGAGGAUGAUCAGUCACACUGGAACUGAGACACGGUCCAGACUCCUACGGGAGGCAGCAGUGGGGAAUAUUGGACAAUGGGCGAAAGCCUGAUGCAGCCAUGCCGCGUGUGUGAAGAAGGUCUUCGGAUUGUAAAGCACUUUAAGUUGGGAGGCGUUACCAACAGAAUAAGCACCGGCUAACUUCGUGCCAGCAGCCGCGGUAAUAC